UACAGAGGUCCCAAGCGUUGUUCGGAUUCAUUGGGCGUAAAGGGUGCGUAGGCGGCGCGGUAAGUCGGGUGUGAAAUCUCGGAGCUUAACUCCGAAACUGCAUUCGAUACUGCCGUGCUUGAGGACUGGAGAGGAGACUGGAAUUUACGGUGUAAGCGGUGAAAUGCGUAGAGUAUCGUAAGGAAGACCAGUGGCGAAGGCGGCUUACUGGUCCAUAACUGACGCUGAGGUGACGAAAGCGUGGGGAGCAAACAGG
rnacentral:rRNA from 1 species